rnacentral:sRNA from 1 species
GCGAGAGGGACGCUCCUUAGAGUCGGGUUGCUUGA